CAAUAGUUGUAGCUGCAACCAUGACUAAUAUACUUUACAUUUAUGAAUGAAGCUUCUAUUUAUCUGGUCUUUGACAUAAAGGAAUUGGUGUCAAAAUGUAGUGAGGAAAGUUUUAAGGAAAGUUUUAAUACUUCUAUCCCUUGACAUCAUGCUUUCUUAUAUUGGCAGCAUAUUGUGUUGUUGCAAAAGAAUCUGUUAGCAAACAG
rnacentral:misc_RNA from 1 species